rnacentral:rRNA from 1 species
CCUACGGGGGGCUGCAGUGAGGAAUAUUGGUCAAUGGACGAGAGUCUGAACCAGCCAAGUAGCGUGAAGGCUGACUGCCCUAUGGGUUGUAAACUUCUUUUAUAUGGGAAUAAAAUGUUCCACGUGUGGGAUUUUGUAUGUACCAUAUGAAUAAGGAUCGGCUAACUCCGUGCCAGCAGCCGCGGUAAUACGGAGGAUCCGAGCGUUAUCCGGAUUUAUUGGGUUUAAAGGGAGCGUAGGUGGAUUGUUAAGUCAGUUGUGAAAGUUUGCGGCUCAACCGUAAAAUUGCAGUUGAAACUGGCAGUCUUGAGUACAGUAGAGGUGGGCGGAAUUCGGGGUGUAGCGGUGAAAUGCUUAGAUAUCACGAAGAACUCCGAUUGCGAAGGCAGUUCACUGGACUGCAACUGACACUGAGGCUCGAAAGUGUGGGUAUCAAACAGGAUUAGAUACCCGAGUAGUC